UGGGGAAUUUUGGACAAUGGGCGAAAGCCUGAUCCAGCCAUGCCGCGUGAGUGAAGAAGGCCUUCGGGUUGUAAAGCUCUUUUAGUCGGAAAGAAAGAGUUGCAAUGAAUAAUUAUGAUUUAUGACGGUACCGUAAGAAGAAGCACCGGCUAACUACAUGCCAGCAGCCGCGGUAAUACGUAGGGUGCGAGCGUUAAUCGGAAUUACUGGGCGUAAAGCGUGCGCAGGCGGUUUUGUAAGACAGAUGUGAAAUCCCCGGGCUUAACCUGGGAACUGCGUUUGUGACUGCAAGGCUGGAGUACGGCAGAGGGGGGUGGAAUUCCACGUGUAGCAGUGAAAUGCGUAGAGAUGUGGAGGAACACCGAUGGCGAAGGCAGCCCCCUGGGCCUGUACUGACGCUCAUGCACGAAAGCGUGGGGAGCAAACA
rnacentral:rRNA from 1 species